ensembl:lncRNA
AUGGAGAGACUGCAGUCUACUGUGAUACCCUGUUACAGACUGAUGGUGAGGGAGGAGGGGAGUGAUGGAGAGACUGCAGUCUACUGUGAUACCCUGUUACAGACUGAUGGAUUGUCAGUCCCGGCCCACAGCUGCAUCCUGGCUGCCCUGAGCCCCUACCUGUCCAAUGCCCUGUCCAACCAGUCAUCCCCCCUCCCGGCUGGGCAGAGAUGGCCACUCAAGCUCCAGGCUGUGAAGGCCCAGACCCUGCUGAAGCUGGUGGAUCUCCUGUACUCCGGAGAGCUGGAGGGAGAGGGCACCAUGGAACAAGAAGAGGUUAUGGCCGCUGCCUGUAAGCUGGGCAUAGGCCGCUUGGUGGAGGGGUGGAAGGACCGGGGGAGGGAGGGAGAGGGGGAGGAGGAGAGGAGGUGCAGUCUCAGAGAUGUGGGGGUGCAGACGGAGGGAGGAGAGACACAGGUGGGGGCAUUGGUGGAGAUGGGGACACAGACUGUGGACUGUAAUGGAGGUAUUUACAUGACUUUCCUCAGUCCUCUCCCUGAUGCUCUCCCUACACCCCUCCUACUAGUCCAGAGCAGCAGUGAAGGCCAGCAGCACACAACUCACACGGCACUCCCUUUCCUGAGUCCCCAGAUUAUGACCCCCACUUCACACCCCAGUUCCACUCCACCCAGCGUCAAAGCACCGGUCAACUGUGGAACAGCUCCCUUUAGAACCCACCCUCAGACCUCCGAACCGGAGGUCACAAACCUCUCAUCGUCCUCUGUUGUCCUGAGCGGUGACAUGGUCACCCAGGGUGACGAUUCGGACCACCCCACAACACCCCGGGAGGAAAGUGCCGUCCCAGAAUGCUCUGUGGCGGAGAACGUUGUGACGGAGAGGAGGAUGGAGAAGAAGAGGGAGCAGCAGCUGACAUCACACACUGGGAGAGCAGAGGAAGGAGGAACAGGGGAGUGUCUGGAGAGGAGAGGUAUGAGGGGAUGACAGUUAUUUUACACAUCCUUUGGGGUUUCUAGUUAGUUUCUGAAUCUCAUAUAUUUAGCAUGUUGUUUCUUUGUACUGUAAAGUGUGUUGCCGUGAAUAACUGCACUGUAAAUAAGAUGUGAUGUGAUUGUGAGGUGUGGUUGGGAGGAAGUGGCUGAGCGGACAGAGGCUGGAGAACACUCAGAUCUCCAUCAAGGUCAAGCUGAGGAGGAGGACCAGGGGACAGGUAGGUGGGGUGUCCAAAAUGGCACCCGAUUCCCUAAAUAGUGCCCUAGUUUUGACCUGGGCCCUGGUGAAAAGUAGUGCACUGUGUAGUGAAUAGGGUGCCAUUUUGGAUGUUGAGUUUUUCUUUGCUAAUGUGUGCCUCUGCUUGCUGUCUGGAGUCCAGGCCGGGUUAAUGUAAAACCCCUUAUUCUCACUCUUUUGAUCUAAAAACUGCUUUAUCAAUACAUUUGAUUGAUUGUCUAACAGCUGUGGGAGCUGGUCAGUGGGCAGGAGACGGACGGAACCAUCUCACCUGGUCAGGGGCAGGAGACAGACGGAACCGUCUCACCUGGUCAGGGGCAGGAGACAGACGGAACCGUCUCACCUGGUCAGGGGCAGGAGACAGACGGAACCGUCUCACCUGGUCAGGGGCAGGAGACAGACGGAACCGUCUCACCUGGUCAGGGGCAGGAGACAGACGGAACCAUCUCACCAGGUCAGAGGCAGGAGAGGGACGGAACCAUCUCACCUGGUCGGAGGCAGUUGGUCCUCGCUGCUCUGAAGAAGGUGAGUGACACAGUAACUAUGAAACUGUUUGAAUACUUCCAAUGCCAUUCUAACUGAUUGUUGUCAGUCAGCAAAGUAAGAGAUUAAUUUGA